rnacentral:rRNA from 1 species
AGAUUAGCUUGCUAUAGUUGUCAGCUAAGUGGCGCACGGGUGAGUAAUGUAUAGAUAACCUGCCCUCUAGAAAGGAAUAACAGUUGGAAACGACUGCUAAUGCCCUAUAUGCCUUUAAUACAUAAGUAUGCAAGGGAAACGCUUUAGUGCUAGAGGAUGGGUCUGUAUGGUAUCAGCUAGUUGGUGAGGUAAUGGCUCACCAAGGCUAUGACGCCUAACUGGUUUGAGAGGAUGAUCAGUCACACUGGAACUGAGACACGGUCCAGACUCCUACGGGAGGCAGCAGUGGGGAAUAUUGCACAAUGGACGAAAGUCUGAUGCAGCAACGCCGCGUGGAGGAUGACACAUUUCGGUGCGUAAACUCCUUUUAUAUAGGAAGAUAAUGACGGUACUAUAUGAAUAAGCACCGGCUAACUCCGUGCCAGCAGCCGCGGUAAUACGGAGGGUGCAAGCGUUACUCGGAAUCACUGGGCGUAAAGAGCGUGUAGGCGGGUAUAUAAGUCAGAAGUGAAAUCCUAUAGCUUAACUAUAGAACUGCUUUUGAAACUGUAUACCUAGAAUGUGGGAGAGGUAGAUGG